GUCAAAUCAUCAUGCCCCUUAUGACCUGGGCUACACACGUGCUACAAUGGAUGGUACAAAGGGCAGCGAAACCGCGAGGUCGAGCCAAUCCCAGAAAACCUAUCGUAGUCCGGAUUGGAGUCUGCAACUCGACUCCAUGAAGUCGGAAUCGCUAGCAAUCGCAGAUCAGCAUUGCUGCGGUGAAUACGUUCCCGGGUCUU
rnacentral:rRNA from 1 species